rnacentral:tRNA from 3 species
GGGCUAUUAGCUCAGUGGUAGAGCGCGCCCCUGAUAAUUGCGUCGUUGUGCCUGGGACGGGCGAGGUCUCUGG